rnacentral:lncRNA from 1 species
CGGCUAAAUAAAUACAUCUAAAUUAAACACGAUAAUCUAGAAAGAGACGUUCACACGCACAUUCCAACAUCUAAUGAAACACUUAUUCCUAAAUUUCGCCUACCCGGCCUACGAUUGCCUACCCGCUUGACCUACCAUGAUACUAUCACGAAAUUGAUAAUUAGACGUGAAAGUAACAAUAACGAUGAAUCAAAACAACAACAAAUCAAAAUUAAUCCUAAUUGACUUUAAUAAUUUUUAACUCACGCCCCGAAUUCCCUUUAAACCACAUGAUUAGUGCAUGCUCCGAUUUUCCAAUCACAUCUCAUAAUCCGAAACCAACAUCAAACACAACAUGAACAAUGAAGAUUCAAACCAAACACACAACAAAUAAAUCAUCUGCACCAACAACAUCGAUAAAAAGUCAAAAUAAAUUAAAGAUUCGGUUAGAAGAAAUAGACCUCGAUGAAAUUGAUCCUUGUCGAUAAUAAGAAAUCCGAAGACCAAAAUACUCAACUGGAGAACCUCACAACGAGCAAACCAAACUCGGUAUUAAAAUAAUAACCGAACAACUCCAAAACCAGUGAAGACAAACUUUUAUAUACGAAAACACAAC